CCCUGACUACCCGCAAUCCCGUGGGUAGACUUAUCCCAGACAGGAGAUUCUCAUG
rnacentral:ncRNA from 1 species